UACGAGGGGGGUGAGCGUUGUUCGGAAUUAUUGGGCGUAAAGGGUGCGUAGGCGGCCUGACAAGUCUGAUGUGAAAUCCCUGGGCUCAACCCAGGGCCUGCAUCGGAAACUGUCGGGCUUGAGUAUGGGAGAGGUGAGUGGAAUUUCCGGUGUAGCGGUGAAAUGCGUAGAUAUCGGAAGGAACACCUGUGGCGAAAGCGGCUCACUGGACCAUUACUGACGCUGAGGCACGAAAGCUAGGGGAGCAAACAGG
rnacentral:rRNA from 1 species